UUCAGCAUACCUAAGUAAAAAUAAAACAGACCCAAAUUUCUUCAUCGUAAACUAAACAGACCUUGGACAUUCUCUCUCCUCUCUCACAAAUUCUUUGUCCUCUUCUUCAUCUCUUUGGCAUCCAUGGCUAUGGAGACUUGAUCCCACUAAGUAAGGAUUCACAUAAUUACGAGUAAUAACAGUUCAUCUCCCCCAAAGCGCCAUACACUCAAGUUCUCAACUCACAUUAUGUCUAUCUUUCGGCGAAUCGAUGUCAAUGCGGACGAGAUCUACGACGUUUCUUAGGUUAGAGUGAGUAUAGGAGGUGACAUAGGUUAGCGGCGAGGUUAGGGGCGCGGUUGGAGUUAAUGUCUCUGUGUGUAUGGAGGCUGAUUUUCUAAUCCCACCAUCCGGUCUAGAAAAAAAUUCAGCAUAAGAUUUUGGCAAAUGUUGAACCAGUUGAAGUUGCAAAAAAUAUCUCUGGAUUGAACCCUGAGAUUACGCUAGGC